rnacentral:rRNA from 1 species
AUGGACGACUCCAUGAGCGGGACCACUGCUGUCGCGGCGCUCGUGGCCGGCGGCGCACUCCACAGGGCUCAGGACAUCCGCGGCGGCGCGGACUGUGGACCCAGAGGUAGGGCCCAUGAUGCGUCCGUUCGAGGGGCUGGUCGGGUUGGCGCGGGAUCUGAGCCACCGUUGAUGGAUUUCUCGCAGCUUGGAUCCUGUUGCUUUGGAUCAGGUGCUUGCUAUAGGAGAAGAUUAAUGGUCCGACACGACUUCAUGAUUUAUGAGCUGGAGGAGAGGGCAUUGGAUGAACCAAUCAGUUCGAAGCCGUAG